GCUCCAGUGGCGCAAUUGGUUAGCGCACGGUACUUAUAAUCAGUAUUUGUGCUUGAGUAAUGCCGGGGUUGUGAGUUCGAGCCUCACCUGGAGCA
rnacentral:tRNA from 1 species